rnacentral:piRNA from 1 species
UAGAGAUGAAUGAGCCUGGGGACUG